rfam:Gossypium raimondii Chr02_contig_1085, whole genome shotgun sequence.
CACGUCAGCGCGCUUUGCUGACGUGGACACAAACGCGCUUACGUGGACACGAUUUGCUGCCACGUCAGCAAACUGCGCUGACGUGG